rnacentral:rRNA from 1 species
AACGAACCGUGCGAACGUUGUUCGGAAUCACUGGGCUUAAAGGGCGCGUAGGCGGCUUCCCAAGUCCGGGGUGAAAUCUUUCGGCUUAACCGGAAAAGUGCCUUGGAUACUGGGAGGCUCGAGGGAGGUAGGGGCAAGCGGAACUUCCGGUGGAGCGGUGAAAUGCGUUGAUAUCGGAAGGAACGCCGGCGGCGAAAGCGGCUUGCUGGACCUCAUCUGACGCUGAUGCGCGAAAGCUAGGGGAGCGAACGGG